rnacentral:rRNA from 1 species
AGAGUUUGAUCAUGGCUCAGACUGAACGCUGGCGGCAUGGCUAAAGCAUGCAAGUCGAACGAGCCCGCAAGGGCAAGUGGCGGACGGGUUAGUAAUACGAUCGAACGUACCCCGAAGUGGGGGAUAGCGGCGGGAAACUGCCGGUAAUACCCCAUGUGCUCUUCGGAGGAAAGAUUUAUCGCUUUGGGAUCGGCGAUCGUCCUAUCAGCUAGUUGGCGGGGUAAAGGCCCACCAAGGCGAAGACGGGUAGCAGGUGUGAGAGCACGACCUGCAACAUCGGAACUGAGAUACUGUCCGGACUCCUACGGGAGGCUGCAGCAACGAAUCUUCCGCAAUGGGCGCAAGCCUGACGGAGCUAUGCCGCGUGUGGGAUGAAGUGCCUCCGGCAUGUAAACCACUGUCAGAAGAUAGAAACACUGAUCAUCUUCAAAGGAAGUGGCGACUAACUCUGUGCCAGCAGUCGCGGUAAUACAGAGGCCACGAGCGUUAGUCGGAAUUACUGGGCUUAAAGGGUGCGUAGGCGGUUAUUCAAGCGUCCUGUGAAAGCCUCCCGCUCAACGGGAGAACAGCAGGGCGAACUGGGUGACUCGAGGUUGGUAGGGGCUCACAGAACAGUCGGUGGACCGGUGAAAUGGGUAGAGAUCGACUGGAAUGCCGAUGGCGAAGGCGGUGAGCUGGGCCAAAUCUGACGCUGAGGCACGAAAGCGUGGGGAGCAAACAGGAUUAGAUACCCCGGUAGUCC